rnacentral:rRNA from 1 species
AGACUUUGAUCAUGGCUCAGAUUGAACGCUGGCGGCAGGCCUAACACAUGCAAGUCGAGCGGCAGCGGGUCCUUCGGGAUGCCGGCGAGCGGCGGACGGGUGAGUAAUGCCUAGGAAUCUGCCUGGUAGUGGGGGAUAACUCGGGGAAACUCGAGCUAAUACCGCAUACGUCCUACGGGAGAAAGCGGGGGAUCUUCGGACCUCGCGCUACCAGAUGAGCCUAGGUCGGAUUAGCUAGUUGGUGAGGUAAAGGCUCACCAAGGCGACGAUCCGUAGCUGGUCUGAGAGGAUGAUCAGCCACACUGGAACUGAGACACGGUCCAGACUCCUACGGGAGGCAGCAGUGGGGAAUAUUGGACAAUGGGCGAAAGCCUGAUCCAGCCAUGCCGCGUGUGUGAAGAAGGUCUUCGGAUUGUAAAGCACUUUAAGUUGGGAGGAAGGGCAGUAAGUUAAUACCUUGCUGUUUUGACGUUACCGACAGAAUAAUGCACCGGCUAACUUCGUGCCAGCAGCCGCGGUAAUACGAAGGGUGCAAGCGUUAAUCGGAAUUACUGGGCGUAAAGCGCGCGUAGGUGGUUUGAUAAGUUGGAUGUGAAAGCCCCGGGCUCAAACCUGGGAAUUGCUAUCCAAAACUGUCUGACUAGAGUAUGGCAGAGGGUGGUUGGAAUUUCCUGUGUAAGCGGUGAAAUGCGUAGAUAUAGGAAGGAACACCAGUGGCGAAGUGCGAACUGCU